rnacentral:rRNA from 1 species
GAUGAACGCUAGCGGCAGGCCUAAUACAUGCAAGUCGAGGGGCAGCACGAUGUAGCAAUACAUUGGUGGCGACCGGCAAACGGGUGCGGAACACGUACGCAACCUUCCUUUGAGUGGGGAAUAGCCCAGAGAAAUUUGGAUUAAUACCCCGUAAGAUCGUGGUGAGGCAUCUCACAGCGAUAAAAGCUGCGGCACUCGAAGAUGGGCGUGCGCCUGAUUAGGUAGUUGGUGAGGUAACGGCUCACCAAGCCGACGAUCAGUAACUGGCGUGAGAGCGCGACCAGUCACACGGGCACUGAGACACGGGCCCGACUCCUACGGGAGGCAGCAGUAAGGAAUAUUGGUCAAUGGACGCAAGUCUGAACCAGCCAUGCCGCGUGGAGGAUGAAGGUCCUCUGGAUUGUAAACUUCUUUUAUCUGGGAAGAAAUGUGCAUUUUCUAAUGUAUUUGACGGUACCAGAUGAAUAAGCACCGGCUAACUCCGUGCCAGCAGCCGCGGUAAUACGGAGGGUGCAAGCGUUAUCCGGAUUCACUGGGUUUAAAGGGUGCGUAGGCGGAACUGUAAGUCCGUGGUGAAAUCUCCGAGCUUAACUCGGAAACUGCCGUGGGUACUGUGGUUCUUGAAUGUUGUGGAGGUUUGCGGAAUAUGUCAUGUAGCGGUGAAAUGCUUAGAUAUGACAUAGAACACCGAUUGCGAAGGCAGCAGCUACACAAAUAUUGACGCUGAGGCACGAAAGCGUGGGGAUCAAACAGGAUUAGAUACCCUGGUAGUCACGCCCUAACGAUGAUUACUCGACAUACGCGAUACACAGUGUGUGUCUGAGCGAAAGCAUUAAAGUAAUCCACCUGGGAAGUUCCGACCGCAAGGUUGAAACUUCAAAAGAAAUGACGGGGGUUCCGCACCAACCGUUGGAGCAAUGUGUUUAAAUUCGAUUAUUAGGCGGGGGAAACCCUUACCUGGGCUUAAAAUGCUGGGGGAAUUGGAUCUGAAAAGGUCCCUUUUGUAGCCAAUACACCGCCAAGUAAAGGUGCUGCAUGGGCUGUCGUUCAGCUUCGUGCCGUGAGGUGUUGGGUUAAGUCCCCGCAACGAGCGCAACCCCCUAUCUUUUAGUUGCCAACAGGUCCAAGCUGGGAACUCUAAAGAAACUGCCGUCGUAAGACGCGAGGAAGGAGGGGAUGAUGUCAAGUCAUCAUGGCCUUUAUGCCCAGGGCUACACACGUGCUACAAUGGUAGGAACAAAGGGCUGCUACUUAGUAAUAAGCUGCUAAUCUCAAAAAUCCUAUCUCAGUUCGGAUUGAGGGCUGCAACUCGCCCUCAUGAAGCUGGAAUCGCUAGUAAUCGUAUAUCAGCAAUGAUACGGUGAAUACGUUCCCGGACCUUGUACACACCGC